rnacentral:rRNA from 1 species
GAUGAACGCUGGCGGCGUGCCUAACACAUGCAAGUCGAACGAAGCAUUUCAGAUGAAGUUUUCGGAUGGAUUCUGAGAUGACUGAGUGGCGGACGGGUGAGUAACACGUGGAUAACCUGCCUCACACUGGGGGACAACAGUUAGAAAUGACUGCUAAUACCGCAUAAGCGCACAGUACCGCAUGGUACGGUGUGAAAAACUCCGGUGGUGUGAGAUGGAUCCGCGUCUGAUUAGCCAGUUGGCGGGGUAACGGCCCACCAAAGCGACGAUCAGUAGCCGACCUGAGAGGGUGACCGGCCACAUUGGGACUGAGACACGGCCCAAACUCCUACGGGAGGCAGCAGUGGGGAAUAUUGCACAAUGGGCGAAAGCCUGAUGCAGCGACGCCGCGUGAGUGAAGAAGUAUUUCGGUAUGUAAAGCUCUAUCAGCAGGGAAGAUAAUGACGGUACCUGACUAAGAAGCCCCGGCUAACUACGUGCCAGCAGCCGCGGUAAUACGUAGGGGGCGAGCGUUAUCCGGAUUUACUGGGUGUAAAGGGAGCGUAGACGGCAUGGCAAGUCUGAAGUGAAAACCCAGGGCUCAACCCUGGGACUGCUUUGGAAACUGUCAAGCUAGAGUGCAGGAGAGGUAAGUGGAAUUCCUAGUGUAGCGGUGAAAUGCGUAGAUAUUAGGAGGAACACCAGUGGCGAAGGCGGCUUACUGGACUGUAACUGACGUUGAGGCUCGAAAGCGUGGGGAGCAAACAGGAUUAGAUACCCUGGNAGUCCACGCCGUAAACGAUGAGUGCUAGGUGUUGGGGGGCAAAGCCCUUCGGUGCCGUCGCAAACGCAAUAAGCACUCCACCUGGGGAGUACGUUCGCAAGAACGAAACUCAAAGGAAUUGACGGGGACCCGCACAAGCGGUGGAGCAUGGUGGUUUAAUUUCGAAGCAACGCGAAGAACCUUACCAAGUCUUGACAUCCUCUGACCGGCGUGUAACGGCGCUUUCUUCGGGACAGAAGAGACAAGGUGGGUGCAUGGUUGUC